rnacentral:lncRNA from 1 species
CCAAAACACAAUUUUGUCAUGAAUCCAUCUGUGUCCAUUGUUUAAUAUUCACAUAGACCAAGGUGAGCGACACAGGCUCUUUAGAGCCUCUAGUUUGAGUUUUAUCUCCCCAAAGCAUGGACCUUGCAAGAGAUGAUUGAGUCAUUUUGUGAGAUAUACCUCUAGUUACAGUUUAAUGGUUCGUUUAUAUAUAACGUUUAUGCUGUGCAUGAUAAGUAUUUGCCAAAUAUCAUUUUUAUGUAGCUAUAUAGAUGUAAACACACUACUACAGUUCUUUUCAUUGUUCCUAUCAAAGUUUUAUGUCUUUCACCCACCUUGCGAGACCGUUACGGAUAGUCGAGGUCGUAAAGUACCAACAUGUUUUCAGUUUGUGCUAAUGGUCUGUUAACAUAGAAAUAUGGGUUAAACAACGAAUCUCUUGAGAUAGUUUUGCCGCUAUACAUGAGAAUAUAGUAUGUUAUUUUCGGUUCAAUCGUACUAGUUUGGCCGAUCUCUGCGGUCACAUUUAUAAAGUAAGAUCGGUUUACUUUAGAUCGAUUCAAACUAAACUACAUUUAGACCGAUUAAAGUUCACAUUAGCCCUUAAAUCGAUCUAAAGUAAACCGUUCUAGUUUAAAUCGAUAAAAAUGUUCUAGUGUUCUCCCACAGUUAUCCCUAUAUGCUACUUUCUAGAGGUUUAUGUGUUUCCCUUUACUUGCAUAUUCAUAAACGUUAGUUCGUCGAUGUCCUUUAUCGCGACCAAUGCAAAUCAGAGUAAGGUUAGGAAUGUGAGUAGAUAUAAUAUCUAUCGACAGAUUAUGAAUCAAAUUUAAUGAAGACCACACGCAAACUGUUCAAUAAUACUCUAAUUGCAUGUUAGUGUCCGUCCUUCCAAAUUGUUAAGCAUCGGGAAAAAAUGUCAUGAUUCACGAAUCGCUUAUUCUCUCAGGG